rnacentral:rRNA from 1 species
GUGAACGCUGGCGAUGUGCCUAAGACAUGCAAGUCGAGCGGGAUUUGUUGUUUACACAGAAAACCCCUAACAGUGGGGAGAUCUGUGUAAAUAAUAAGUUUAGCGGCAAACGGGUGAGUAAUAAGUACAAAUAUGCCUCUUUGUAGGACAUAGCCCACCGAAAGGUGGAGUAAUUUCCUAUAGUACCUCAGGGUUAAAGACGUAAGUCGCGAAGAGAAUAGUGUACUAACUACCAGCUAGUUGGUGAGGUAACGGCUCACCAAGGCUAUGACGGUUAUCGGCUCUUAGCGGAGAGUCCGACACAAUGGGACUGAGACACGGCCCAUACUUCUACGGAAGGCAGCAGUUAGGAAUUUUGCGCAAUGGACGAAAGUCUGACGCAGCGACAUCGCGUGAGGGAUUAAGGCCUUCGGGUUGUAAACCUCUUUUUGGGAGUCAUGAAGGCGCCCAGAAUAAGCAACUACUAACUACGU